GACGAACGCUGGCGGCGUGCUUAACACAUGCAAGUCGAACGGAAAGGCCCUGCUUUUGUGGGGUGCUCGAGUGGCGAACGGGUGAGUAACACGUGAGUAACCUGCCCUUGACUUUGGGAUAACUUCAGGAAACUGGGGCUAAUACCGGAUAGGAGCUCCUGCUGCAUGGGGGGGUUGGAAAGUUUCGGCGGUUGGGGAUGGACUCGCGGCUUAUCAGCUUGUUGGUGGGGUAGUGGCUUACCAAGGCUUUGACGGGUAGCCGGCCUGAGAGGGUGACCGGCCACAUUGGGACUGAGAUACGGCCCAGACUCCUACGGGAGGCAGCAGUGGGGAAUAUUGCACAAUGGGCGGAAGCCUGAUGCAGCAACGCCGCGUGCGGGAUGACGGCCUUCGGGUUGUAAACCGCUUUCGCCUGUGACGAAGCGUGAGUGACGGUAAUGGGUAAAGAAGCACCGGCUAACUACGUG
rnacentral:rRNA from 1 species